rnacentral:rRNA from 1 species
CGUAAAGCGUGCGUAGGCGGUUUGUUAAGUCCGCUGUGAAAGCCCUGGGCUCAACCUGGGAAUUGCAGUGGAUACUGGCAAGCUAGAGUGCGGUAGAGGAUGGUGGAAUUCCCGGUGUAGCGGUGAAAUGCGUAGAGAUCGGGAGGAACACCCGUGGCGAAGGCGGCCAUCUGGACCAGCACUGACGCUGAGGCACGAAAGCGUGGGGAGCAAACAGGAUUAGAUACCCUGGUAGUCCACGCCCUAAACGAUGCGAACUGGACGUUGGGUGGACUUAGCCACUCAGUGUCGAAGCUAACGCGUUAAGUUCGCCGCCUGGGGAGUACGGUCGCAAGACUGAAACUCAAAGGAAUUGA